GAGAAGAUAACUAGAAGCAAUAUGUAACACAUGCAUUAGGUCCAAUGACAUAUGUAUUUCUCUUUUCCCAAAUUUUUUUCAUUUGUAAUGUUUUUUUCUCUCUCUUCUCUCCCUCUCUCUCUCUCGUACGCUCUCUCUUUUUCUCACCAUCACUUUCAUCUCUCCUCCGUGCCUCAUCUCCUCCUCCACCACCGCAUCCACCACAACCUCCACCACCACCUACAAAUCGAUCUCCGAAUCAGAACGUCCUCUCCGCUUCCGGUGAUGCCGCCGUCAUCAGAAUCACGUUAUUCUUCCUCUCAGGUUCCUCGUGUCAAUUUGCUCAUAAACUUUGUAGAAAUCAUAACUCUUAUUGCUGCAGCUGCAACAGUUCUGCCAUUGAUUUCCCUAUAUGGGUUUUCAAACUCACAAGUGAUUUUGUGGUAUAAUAGAAAUUGGGAAUUGGAAGAAGUAUGUGAAACCCGUAUUCUGGACAGGGGCUCACUAAAACGGUAACUGCUCUUCCUCUAUAACUCCGAAUUUAGUGUGGUUUGUCUCUAUGGUUAGCUAACGAAAUUCCGGUCGUUCCGACGCCAAUAUUAUGAAUUAUGGAGCUGUAUUGAAUCCUGCAGACGCGUUUGAAGUUCAGGGUCAGGUGCAGAAUUUUGGGUUUGAGGUUAGCAUCAUGAUCAUCAUCUUGAGCUACUGGGAAUUCUAUGGAGUAGCUCAUUUCUUAAAGUUUCUGAGUUAAUCUCAUUCAGGUGGGUUCCUUUAGGAAAAACUCACUUUAAUAGAGUAGCUUUAAUAGUUUUCCCCAAAUUCAAUUAUGCAUGUUAACUUAGGGAUUUAGGAUUAAUUAGGAAAACUCUUGAAUUGAAUUAAUUAAUGACUUAAACAAUACAUAAGCUAAAUUGAACUCUGCAAUAUUUUGGAUUAUUUUGUAGUUUUUUUUUUGUGUGUAGGUUUUGAUAUGUGAUUUCUUGAAUCCAUCAUGGGACAAGAGUGAGUAACAUGAAAUUUGAUUUGAGGGUAGUUUUGAUUCAGUUUCAAUUAUUGCUUUUGACCGUGUCGCUUCUACCGUCAAGUCUGCAGUUGAUAUUCAAACACCGGGUGAUCUUAUAACUCUUAUUGCUGCAGCUACAACAGGUACUUUGUUAAUCUUUCUAUGAACUGACAUUAUCUAUAGUUUGGUUAUUUAAGAAGUUCAAUCGCGAUUUUGUCCUGGUUCAUUGUCUGGUUGGGUUUGUAAAACAUUGUUUUCUAUGCUUGUAAGAUGUAAGAUUUUCUACGGGUGAUAAUGAAGGUACUACUAAUUUAGUUUACCAUUGAGGCUUAUCUUUUUAUUUUUAUUUUUUUAUAAUGUGCUUAGUGAUUUAGCUAUGAAGUGAGAAUAUUAAAAUAAUAUUGAUUUUGAGUUUGCAUACUUACAUCAUGCAUUUUUAAUUUGCUUGGACAGUUUGCAUGCUCUGAAUGUUCCAUGAUUCAAAUCUUUGCAUAAGCACUAUCCAGGCAUCAAGUGGCAUGAUUGUAGAUGCAAAAUUCAGAAAAGCAUGCACCUUGUGAUGCUAACUCCUCUUUAAACUCUUUAUUCUAAUUGUGUUUUAUGUUGCUACAAGCACUUAAUAGGCCUAAGCUUCUCUUCACAUUUCUUUGGACUCUUUUAUGCUGCUAUCAUGUGCUUCAUUGUUUAUAACUUCAUUUUGCAUUGUGAUGUUAAUUUGAGACACGGUCAUAUUUUCUUCGAUACAGGGUAAAAAGGCUACUGCUUUUCCUGCCAUGUGCAGCAAGUUAUCAGAUCAGAGUGAAGUAGAAAACAGGGUUGUUGUUGAUGGGACACUAUGCACUAUUUCAUAUCGUUUGAGCAGAUGCCUCGGAACCUCCAUUGAGUUUGCAUUAGUUAUUGUGCAGAAGCUGUUUGGACGCAAUUUAGCUCUAGAACUUGCAAAGACAACAGUGUUCACAAGCCCAUAAUGUAUUUAAAUGAUCAGAAUUUCGUCGCAGUCAGUCUAUCUAAGCUAUUGAUAGAUAUCAAGUGGUUCGUGGCAUGACUUUGACCGAUCAGAAACUAAAGAUGGAUGUCAAAAUAUACGAUGCUGCAAGAUCCAAAACCAAAACCAGAUUCAAGUAUCUGUUGAAAAGAAAAAUAGGAAAGAUAUAUUUCAAAGAUGGAUGGUAUGAUGGGGGCUUGAAGAAGGUUUUUUUAGUUGGCUAUCUGGUGUGUAUCCUUAUAUGAAAUUAGUUGUCAUCCAAGCAUAGACUUUGCAGCAAAGAAAGUAACUGUUGUUGGAGAUGUGACUCAAUUGAGUGUAAUGGCAAGCAUAACAAAGGUGAAGUCUGCAUAAAUUUGGCCAGAAUUUGCUUCACCAAUUGGAGCUACAAGUGGUGCUGCUGAAUAAAGGAAAUAAACUAUAGGUGCUUUCGUAUGCUUUGAGUCUGUAUUAGGUGGUAGUUUAAUUAGUGUAAAUGAGAAUGUUAGCAAGUGAAGUUGUGGCUUUGAAGAGAUAUUGGUAGUUUAUUUAGAAGGAGCUUUAUCUUUGCAUAAGGAUUGACUAUUGAAACCGAUUUUCAUAAUGAGUCUGAUGUGUGGAUAUAAAUAGUGGAUCAUAUAAGUAAAGAUUCAUUUUUUAAA